rnacentral:tRNA from 1 species
AAGAUUUUAAGUUAAAUUUUUAAACUAUUAAUUUUCAAAAUUAAAUAUAUAUUUUAUAAUAUAAAUCUUA